UACGAAGGGGGCUAGCGUUGCUCGGAAUGACUGGGCGUAAAGGGCGCGUAGGCGGAGUGCUUUGUCUGGCGUGAAAUUCCAGGGCUCAACCUUGGGGCUGCGUUCGAGACGGGCAUUCUAGAGUUCGGAAGAGGGUCGUGGAAUUCCCAGUGUAGAGGUGAAAUUCGUAGAUAUUGGGAAGAACACCGGUGGCGAAGGCGGCGACCUGGUCCGAGACUGACGCUGAGGCGCGAAAGCGUGGGGAGCAAACAGG
rnacentral:rRNA from 1 species